rnacentral:rRNA from 1 species
CCUACGGGAGGCAGCAGUGGGGAAUCUUGCACAAUGGAGGAAACUCUGAUGCAGCGAUGCCGCGUGAGUGAAGAAGGCCUUUGGGUUGUAAAGCUCUUUUGUAGGGGAAGAUAAUGACUGUACCCUAAGAAUAAGGUCCGGCUAACUUCGUGCCAGCAGCCGCGGUAAUACGAAGGGACCUAGCGUAGUUCGGAAUUACUGGGCGUAAAGCGCGCGUAGGCCGUUGAGUUAGUUAAUUGUGAAAUCCCAAAGCUUAACUUUGGAACUGCAAUUAAAACUGCUCGACUAGAGUUUGAUAGAGGAAAGCGGAAUACAUAGUGUAGAGGUGAAAUUCGUAGAUAUUAUGUAGAACACCAGUUGCGAAGGCGGCUUUCUGGAUCAACACUGACGCUGAGGCGCGAAAGUAUGGGUAGCAAAGAGGAUUAGAUACCCUCGUAGUCCAUACCAUAAACGAUGAUUGCUAGAUGUUGGAAAUUUAUUUUCAGUAUCGCAGCUAACGCAUUAAGCAAUCCGCCUGGGGAUACGACCGCAAGGUUAAAACUCAAAAGGAAUUGACGGCNGAGACGUGCCGACGACGACGACGAGGGAGGUAGG